rnacentral:rRNA from 1 species
AAACUAAACGUACCCACGUUCGGAUUGUAGUCUACAACCCGACCUACAUGAAGCUGGAAUCGCUAGUAAUCGCGGAUCAGAAUGCCGCGGUGAAUACGUUCCCGGGUCUUGUACACACCGCCCGUCACACCAUGGGAGUCAGUAACGCCCGAAGUCAGUGACCCAACCUUAGGGAGGGAGCUGCCGAAGGCGGGACGGAUAACUGGGGUGAAGUCGUAACAAGGUACC